AGUCGAGGGGCAGCAUGAACUUAGCCUUGCUAAGCUUUGAUGGCGACCGGCGCACGGGCUGAGUAACACGAUAUCCAACCUGCCGAUGACUCGGGGAUAGCCUUUCGAAAGAAAGAUUAAUACCCGAUGGCAUAGUUCUUCCGCAUGGCUAGAACUAUUAAAGAAUUUCGGUCAUCGAUGGGGAUGCGUUCCAUUAGGUUGUUGGCGGGGUAACGGCCCACCAAGCCUUCGAUGGAUAGGGGUUCUGAGAGGAAGGUCCCCCACAUUGGAACUGAGACACGGUCCAAACUCAUACGGGAGGCAGCAGUGAGGAAUAUUGGUCAAUGGACGAGAGUCUGAACCAGCCAAGUAGCGUGAAGGAUGACUGNCCCUAUNGGGUUGUAAACUUCUUUUAUACGGGAAUAAAGUGAGGCACGUGUGCCUUUUUGUAUGUACCCGUAUGAAUAAGGAUCGGCUAACUCCGUGCCAGCAGCCGCGGUAAUACGGAGGAUCCGAGCGUUAUCCGGAUUUAUUGGGUUUAAAAGGGAGCGUAGGCGGACGCUUAAGUCAGUUGUGAAAGUUUGCGGCUCAACCGUAAAAUUGCAGUUGAUACUGGGUGUCUUGAGUACAGUAGAGGCAGGCGGAAUUCGUGGUGUAGCGGUGAAAUGCUUAGAUAUCACGAAGAACUCCGAUUGCGAAGGCAGCUUGCUGGACUGUAACUGACGCUGAUGCUCGAAAGUGUGGGUAUCAAACAGGAUUAGAUACCCUGGUAGUCCACACAGUAAACGAUGAAUACUCGCUGUUUGCGAUAUACAGUAAGCGGCCAAGCGAAAGCGUUAAGUAUUCCACCUGGGGGAGUACGCCGGCAACGGUGAAACUCAAAGGAAUUGACGGGGGCCCGCACAAGCGGAGGAACAUGUGGUUUAAUUCGAUGAUACGCGAGGAACCUUACCCGGGCUUGAAUUGCAACUGAAUGAUGUGGAGACAUGUCAGCCCCAAGGCAGUUGUGAAGGUGCUGCAUGGNUUGUCGUCAGCUCGUGCCGUGAGGUGUCGGCUUAAGUGCCAUAACGAGCGCAACCCUUAUCGAUAGUUACCAUCAGGUUAUGCUGGGGACUCUGUCGAGACUGCCGUCGUAAGAUGUGAGGAAGGUGGGGAUGACGUCAAAUCAGCACGGCCCUUACGUCCGGGGCUACACACGUGUUACAAUGGGGGGUACAGAAGGCAGCUACACGGCGACGUGAUGCUAAUCCCUAAAGCCUCUCUCAGUUCGGAUUGGAGUCUGCAACCCGACUCCAUGAAGCUGGAUUCGCUAGUAAUCGCGCAUCAGCCACGGCGCGGUGAAUACGUUCCCGGGCCUUGUACACACCGCCCGUCAAGCCAUGAAAGCCGGGGGUACCUGAAGUGCGUAACCGCAAGAG
rnacentral:rRNA from 1 species